GACGAACGCUGGCGGCGUGCCUAAUACAUGCAAGUAGAACGCUGAAGAGAGGAGCUUGCUCUUCUUGGAUGAGUUGCGAACGGGUGAGUAACGCGUAGGUAACCUGCCUUGUAGCGGGGGAUAACUAUUGGAAACGAUAGCUAAUACCGCAUAACAAUGGAUGACACAUGUCAUUUAUUUGAAAGGGGCAAUUGCUCCACUACAAGAUGGACCUGCGUUGUAUUAGCUAGUAGGUGAGGUAAUGGCUCACCUAGGCGACGAUACAUAGCCGACCUGAGAGGGUGAUCGGCCACACUGGGACUGAGACACGGCCCAGACUCCUACGGGAGGCAGCAGUAGGGAAUCUUCGGCAAUGGAGGCAACCCUGACCGAGCAACGCCGCGUGAGUGAAGAAGGUUUUCGGAUCGUAAAGCUCUGUUGUAAGUCAAGAACGGGUGUGAGAGUGGAAAGUUCACACUGUGACGGUAGCUUACCAGAAAGGGACGGCUAACUACGUG
rnacentral:rRNA from 1 species